CCUGGCUCAGGACGAACGCUGGCGGCGUGCCUAAUACAUGCAAGUCGAACGAACGGAGGAAGAGCUUGCUCUUCCAAUGUUAGUGGCGGACGGGUGAGUAACACGUGGGCAACCUGCCUGUAAGUUGGGGAUAACUCCGGGAAACCGGGGCUAAUACCGAAUGAUAAAGUGUGGCGCAUGCCACGCUUUUGAAAGAUGGUUUCGGCUAUCGCUUACAGAUGGGCCCGCGGUGCAUUAGCUAGUUGG
rnacentral:rRNA from 1 species